rnacentral:rRNA from 1 species
AGUGAACGCUGGCGGUAGGCCUAACACAUGCCAGUCGAACGGCAGCACAGUAAGAGCUUGCUCUUACGGGUGGCGAGUGGCGGACGGGUGAGGAAUACAUCGGAAUCUACUUUUUCGUGGGGGAUAACGUAGGGAAACUUACGCUAAUACCGCAUACGACCUACGGGUGAAAGCAGGGGAUCUUCGGACCUUGCGCGAUUGAAUGAGCCGAUGUCGGAUUAGCUAGUUGGCGGGGUAAAGGCCCACCAAGGCGACGAUCCGUAGCUGGUCUGAGAGGAUGAUCAGCCACACUGGAACUGAGACACGGUCCAGACUCCUACGGGAGGCAGCAGUGGGGAAUAUUGGACAAUGGGCGCAAGCCUGAUCCAGCCAUACCGCGUGGGUGAAGAAGGCCUUCGGGUUGUAAAGCCCUUUUGUUGGGAAAGAAAAGCAGCAGGUUAAUACCCCACUGUUCUGACGGUACCCAAAGAAUAAGCACCGGCUAACUUCGUG